UUUAAUCAAUAUUGAUUUGUUGAAUGACUACUACUAAUUCUAAUAAUAAUGAUGAUGGUGUAUAGUAGUGGAACUGCCCCCUCGGACUCCUAAAACUGGACCAGCUGCGACAGUUCUGGUGUGCGUAACUCUAGCCCUUCUGGUUUUCCUGGAGAUAACAUUUUCGUUCAUAUCCAAAGAAUUUGAUUGGCAAGGUUCAGCUAGAGAUAUAGCGUUGCAUGGAGAUAUUGAAAGUUGGACCAGAAAGCAUAAGGCUACGAAUAUGACUAAAAUUUGUAAAAGUCACACAACAACACAACAAGGAAAUAAAUCCAUUCCUAAGCAAUGUUUGAAUUUUCAAAAAUAAACUUUGACCAAUGAUAAUUAUUUAUUUUUCUGAUUUAUAAUUUUUAAAAAAAAAUAUAGCCUGUCUAGUCACAUAUUUAUUCAGAAAAUAUUGAAAAAUAAAAUUUUUAACUUAUA